ACAUAAGCGGAGGAAAAGAAACCAACAGGGAUUGCCCUAGUAACGGCGAGUGAAGCGGCAACAGCUCAAAUUUGAAAUCUGGCGCAAGCCCGAGUUGUAAUUUGUAGAGGAUGCUUCUGGGUAGCGACCGAUCUAAGUUCCUUGGAACAGGACGUCAUAGAGGGUGAGAAUCCCGUAUGUGACCGGCCCGCACCCUUUACGUAGCUCCUUCGACGAGUCGAGUUGUUUGGGAAUGCAGCUCUAAAUGGGAGGUAAAUUUCUUCUAAAGCUAAAUACCGGCCAGAGACCGAUAGCGCACAAGUAGAGUGAUCGAAAGAUGAAAAGUACUUUGGAAAGAGAGUUAAAAAGCACGUGAAAUUGUUGAAAGGGAAGCGCCUGCAACCAGACUUCGCGGCAGUGUUCCGCCGGUCUUCUGACCGGUUCAUUCUCUGUCGCGAGGCCAUCAUCGUCUGGGCCCGCCGGAUAAGACCUGAGGAAUGUGGCUCCCCCUCGGGGGAGUGUUAUAGCCUCUGGUGAUGCGGCGUGGCUCGGGCGAGGUCCGCGCUUCGGCAAGGAUGAUGGCGUAAUGGUUGUCGGCGGCCCGUCUUGAAACACGGACCAAGGAGUCUAACAUCUAUGCGAGUGUUCGGGUGUCAAACCCCUACGCGUAAUGAAAGUGAACGGAGGUGGGAACCGCAAGGUGCACCAUCGACCGAUCCUGAUGUCCUCGGAUGGAUUUGAGUAAGAGCAUAGCUGUUGGGACCCGAAAGAUGGUGAACUAUGCCUGAAUAGGGUGAAGCCAGAGGAAACUCUGGUGGAGGCUCGCAGCGGUUCUGACGUGCAAAUCGAUCGUCAAAUUUGGGUAUAGGUGCGAAAGACUAAUCGA
rnacentral:rRNA from 1 species